rnacentral:lncRNA from 1 species
UGUGUGUCUUUGGCCAUAUUCAUCAAAGCAUCAAAGGUUAUUCAAAAAAAAAAAACUACUUGGAUGAAGCAGAACCUUUUCUAAGGAAAAUCCGCCAACCUCCGCAGUGCUUUUGGAAUCACUCAAGGCCGAAAGACUCUCCCUCCGAGCAACAGUUGAGCGAAAGCUCCUCGGCUAAAGGAGCCACCGCUGAAAAAGUCCCACCGGGCGACGAGCUCCAGGCUGAAAGCACUGCCGCAACUUCUGCCAGCAGAAACGCUCCACUUCCAAACUCGACAACACUCCCCGUACACUACGCUCUUGCACAUUUACCGGGAGAGAACAGAUGA